AAAACGAGAGACGGGGACAGCUAUGCCUUUGUCAGCUGAACUUGAUUGAUAUCACGGUGAACGUUACCUCAGCGCAGAUUAAUACUAUCGUGUUAUUGAAAGAAAUACCAUUCCUUCAUUGUAGCAAUAAGGAUAAAUUGGCAAUUAAAGAAUUAGGACAACCAAGACCAAAUUUAAACAUCAAACAGGUGUCUACAAAGGGCAGAACGUUGUAUAAACAAGGAUUUUCGAGGAUGUGGUAUGAGCGGAGAAAAAGGCUAAUAGGCUGCGAAGUAGCUGACGCUUUAUUCUGCUAAUUUACUGCUGCAUUUUGUUCCAUCGCGAGUGCGUGACGGACAUCGCAUGGACAACGACAGGUGUCACGAACAUGCAUCAUCUCUCGGAGAAGGUGAAAAAAACACUAAAGAGCAAAGAUGCAUAUGGAUAUUAGGGAGCAGUAUAAUAUAAGUGAGUAAUUUAAGUAAGCAGUGUAAUGUAAGUGAGGAAUGUGAUAUAAAUGAGCACAGUAAUAUAAGCGAGUUGUGUAAACAGUGAUUUAUGUGACUUCAAUUAUUUCUUAUUAAACUGAAAUCGAAGUAAAAA